AUAUCCUACGGGAGGCAGCAGUGGGGAAUCUUAGACAAUGGGCGCAAGCCUGAUCUAGCCAUGCCGCGUGUGUGAUGAAGGCCUUAGGGUCGUAAAGCACUUUCGCCAGAGAUGAUAAUGACAGUAUCUGGUAAAGAAACCCCGGCUAACUCCGUGCCAGCAGCCGCGGUAAUACGGAGGGGGUUAGCGUUGUUCGGAAUUACUGGGCGUAAAGCGUACGUAGGCGGAUCAGAAAGUAUGGGGUGAAAUCCCAGGGCUCAACCCUGGAACUGCCUCAUAAACUCCUGAUCUAGAGUUCGAGAGAGGUGAGUGGAAUUCCGAGUGUAGAGGUGAAAUUCGUAGAUAUUCGGAGGAACACCAGUGGCGAAGGCGGCUCACUGGCUCGAUACUGACGCUGAGGUAACGAAAGUGUGGGGAGCAAACAGGAUUAGAUACCCUGGUAGUCCACACCGUAAACGAUGAAUGCCAGUCGUCGGGUAGCAUGCUAUUCGGUGACACACCUAACGGAUUAAGCAUUCCGCCUGGGGAGUACGGUCGCAAGAUUAAAACUCGAGAAAUCACUGUCCCGAGUUUAACCUCAAAG
rnacentral:rRNA from 1 species